GACGUAGGGCGCGAGCGUUGUCCGGAAUUAUUGGGCGUAAAGAGCUCGUAGGCGGUUUGUCGCGUCUGCCGUGAAAGUCCGGGGCUCAACUCCGGAUCUGCGGUGGGUACGGGCAGACUAGAGUGAUGUAGGGGAGACUGGAAUUCCUGGUGUAGCGGUGAAAUGCGCAGAUAUCAAGAGGAACACCUGCGGCGAAGGCGGGUUGCUGGGCUGACACUGACGCUGAAGCGCGAAAGCUAGGGGAGCAAACGGG
rnacentral:rRNA from 1 species